UGGGGAAUAUUGCGCAAUGGGGGAAACCCUGACGCAGCGACGCCGCGUGUGGGAUGAAGGUCUUCGGAUUGUAAACCACUGUCGCGAGGGACGAAGCUCUGACGGUACCUCGAAAGGAAGCACCGGCUAACUCUGUGCCAGCAGCCGCGGUAAUACAGAGGGUGCGAGCGUUGUCCGGAAUCACUGGGCGUAAAGGGCGCGUAGGCGGCCCGGUAAGUAGGGGGUGAAAUCUCAUGGCUCAACUGUGAGGCUGCCUUCUAGACUGCCAGGCUUGAGCACAGUAGAGGCGAGUGGAAUUCCCGGUGUAGCGGUGGAAUGCGUAGAGAUCGGGAAGACAUCGGUGGCGAAGGCGGCUCGCUGGGCUGUUGCUGACGCUGAGGCGCGAAAGCGUGGGGAGCAAACAGGAUUAGAUACCCUCGUAGUCCCUGAGCGGGCUGGCAAGGCGCAU
rnacentral:rRNA from 1 species